UUUCUUGGUCGUAUCGUACCAGUUGAUUUAUGGGAUGUUUUCACAUCGGUUAGUCGAGCCUACCUUGACGCUUUCUUAGGUUUGUAAAUUUUUCUUAUACAUCUCUGCAUAAAUUCCUAGCGGCGCUAGAGGUGAUGUGAUACGUGAAAAUGUAUCGCCAUUCUUCUAGUGACACACAUGCGAGUUUCUAAAUUAGCUAUUGGUUUCAGUUUUUCGGCAUCAGUGAUCUUCUACAAGUUUUGUCCUCUUGUCCUAGAACACGGAAUUUUUUAGCCGCAAAUAUGGGAACCACUUAAGGGUAGGAAUUACUUGGUCAGACUGCAUGUAUGGUUACCGACUUACUGUAUGCAGUUUACUCAAACUUAAUCUUUUUGUACGUUACCUAUGAACGGACUUAUUAGUAUGGCUUGAAGCUGUGUAAUCAUGGCUUUGGCAACGCAAGUUGAACAUCUGUUUUUUUUUUCUCUAAAAGAUGUUUCCCUGUCAUUUUUAUUUCAUACAUCAUCAUUGAAUUUUGAUUGAAUUUGUGAAUUAAAGGUUCGUAUAAAUGUAGGAAAUGAUGCUUAAGGUUGUGAAGCUGCUAAUGACAAAGCUGGGCAGACUUAUGAGUCGGCAAAAGACACUAUCUUCGAAAACCUUGAAGCGACCAAGGAUAAGUCGCUCGAUAUUAAAGAAAAUAUGACUGGCUCGAAUAAUAAUCGGAGUCAUGAUGAGACGCUGUGAAUUUAUAAUUGCAUGGAUGAUGAG
rnacentral:lncRNA from 1 species